GCGGCUGUGGCGGAAUGGCAGACGCGCUACUUUGAGGGGGUAGUGGACUUACGUCCGUGUGAGUUCAAGUCUCACCAGCCGCA
rnacentral:tRNA from 1 species